rnacentral:rRNA from 1 species
AACGAACGCUGGCGGCAUGCCUAACACAUGCAAGUCGAACGAGACCUUCGGGUCUAGUGGCGCACGGGUGCGUAACGCGUGGGAACCUGCCUUUAGGUUCGGAAUAACUCAGAGAAAUUUGAGCUAAUACCGGAUAAUGUCUUCGGACCAAAGAUUUAUCGCCUUUAGAUGGGGCCCGCGUUUGGAUUAGCUAGUUGGUGGGGUAAAGGCCUACCAAGGCGACGAUCCAUAGCUGGUCUGAGAGGAUGAUCAGCCACACUGGGACUGAGACACGGCCCAGACUCCUACGGGAGCAGCAGUGGGAAUAUUGGACAAUGGGCGAAAGCCUGAUCCAGCAAUGCCGCGUGAGUGAUGAAGGCUAGGGUGUAAAGCUCUUUACCCGAGAUGAUAAUGACGGUAUC